rnacentral:rRNA from 1 species
AUUGAACGCUGGCGGCAGGCCUAACACAUGCAAGUCGAACGAGUGGCGGACGGGUGAGUAAUGUCUGGGAAACUGCCUGAUGGAGGGGGAUAACUACUGGAAACGGUAGCUAAUACCGCAUACCAUCGGAUGUGCCCAGAUGGGAUUAGCUAGAAGGUGGGGUAACGGCUCAACUAGGCGACGAUCACUAGCUGGUCUGAGAGGAUGACCAGCCACACUGGAACUGAGCCACCGUCCAUCCCCCUACGGGAGGCAGCAGUGGGGAAUAUUGCACAAUGGGCGCAAUCCUGAUGUAGCCAUGCCGCGUGUAUGAAGAAGGCCUUCGGGUUGUAAAGUACUUUCAGCGGGGAGGCGUUACCCGCAGAAGAAGCACCGGCUAACUCCGUGCCAGCAGCCGCGGUAAUUC